UCUCAGGAUGAGGAAAGAAAGUGGUUUCUUAAUAUGGAGUCUACUCCCGGUGAAGAUGCUGUGAA
rnacentral:pre_miRNA from 1 species